rnacentral:tRNA from 1 species
AUUUAAAUAGUUUAUAUAAAAUAUUAAUUUGUGGAAUUAAAGAUAUAGAUUUUCUAUUUUAAAUA